rnacentral:rRNA from 1 species
AUUGAACGCUGGCGGCAUGCCUUACACAUGCAAGUCGAACGGCAGCGGACCUUCGGGUGCCGGCGAGUGGCGAACGGGUGAGUAAUGCAUCGGAACGUACCUUUCAGUGGGGGAUAACGUAGCGAAAGUUACGCUAAUACCGCAUACUCUGUGAGCAGGAAAGCAGGGGAGCGCAAGACCUUGCGCCGAUUGAGCGGCCGAUGUCAGAUUAGCUAGUUGGAGAGGUAAAGGCUCACCAAGGCGACGAUCUGUAGCGGGUUUGAGAGGAUGAUCCGCCACACUGGAACUGAGACACGGUCCAGACUCCUACGGGAGGCAGCAGUGGGGAAUUUUGGACAAUGGGCGCAAGCCUGAUCCAGCCAUGCCGCGUGCGGGAAGAAGGCCUUCGGGUUGUAAACCGCUUUUGGCAGGAACGAAACGGCGACUCCUAAUACGGGUGGCUAAUGACGGUACCUGCAGAAUAAGCACCGGCUAACUACGUGCCAGCAGCCGCCGUAAAAC